rnacentral:rRNA from 1 species
UACGGGGGGGGCAAGCGUUGUUCGGAAUUACUGGGCGUAAAGGGCUCGUAGGUGGCCAACUAAGUCGGACGUGAAAUCCCUCGGCUUAACCGGGGAACUGCGUCCAAUACUGGUUGGCUUGAGUUUGGGAGAGGGAUGCGGAAUUCCAGGUGUAGCGGUGAAAUGCGUAGAUAUCUGGAGGAACACCCGUGGCGAAGGCGGCUCUCUGGUCCGAAACUGACGCUGAGGUGCGAAAGCUAGGGGAGCGAACGGG